CCUACGGGGGGCAGCAGUGGGGAAUAUUGGACAAUGGGGGGAACCCUGAUCCAGCCAUGCCGCGUGUGUGAAGAAGGCCCUCGGGUUGUAAAGCACUUUCAGUGAGGAAGAACGCCUGGUGGUUAAUACCCAUCAGGAAAGACAUCACUCACAGAAGAAGCACCGGCUAACUCCGUGCCAGCAGCCGCGGUAAUACGGAGGGUGCGAGCGUUAAUCGGAAUUACUGGGCGUAAAGCGCGCGUAGGUGGCUUGAUAAGCCGGUUGUGAAAGCCCCGGGCUCAAUCUGGGAACGGCAUCCGGAACUGUCAAGCUAGAGUGCAGGAGAGGAAGGUAGAAUUCCCGGUGUAGCGGUGAAAUGCGUAGAGAUCGGGAGGAAUACCAGUGGCGAAGGCGGCCUUCUGGACUGACACUGACACUGAGGUGCGAAAGCGUGGGUAGCAAACAGGAUUAGAUACCCUGGUAGUC
rnacentral:rRNA from 1 species